rnacentral:lncRNA from 1 species
AGGAAGAGAAACUACGCCACCUCCCCUGCAGCCGAGUGCACGCAGCAGCCUGGCGUGACAAGUGGGCGACGCCGGGGGGCAGGGAGCCGGGGUCCUUGGCCCUGGCCGGGGACCCCACCGCCCACCGCGCGGAGGACAACUUUUAGCCGGCAGCCCAGACCAGCGCGGCACCUGUCUCCGGAGUCUCCACCGCUCCUCCCGAUUCAUCCCAGGGAAAUUCUCAAGAAUACGCUCUACAAAUCUACGUGCGCAUCAUUUUCACCUCGCGUCGCGCCCGGGAGGAAGGAACGAGGCAAGGAGCUAAAGCAGCGUGCGUUCAGCCCUGGGGCAUUUUAUUAAUGCUUUUACGAGUUAGAAGAGUUGGGAUAAUUUGCCAUCUGGAGUUUCUCUGCCUUGCUGAUCUGAGCUCAGACCUGCCAAUUUACCAGAGAUAAUUGAUAACACCCUGUAACAGCUGAGAGGAAAAUGGAAGAAACGGAGAUACUUUUAGUGAAGCAGAAUAAACCACUGAACAGUCUGUUUCAUCUUCAUAAAAACGCUGCUUUCAGUGCACUGGAUUUAUUUUACAACCCACUAAUGGAUUACCCUACAGUUUGAAAAACAUUGCGUUAGACCAGUUUGACUGUUGUCAAGAACCAAAAAAGGAAAAAUGAGGAAGCUGUGAGUACCAGUGGAAGGAACGAGCCAGGAAGAGGGACUGGAACCAUCUCAGAAGCCAUGCCCCUCAGGCUGGAACUUGCCCUGUCUCCUCGCAGAUGAGGUAGGAGGCUCAGCACGGGCUGGUGGGAGCAGCCCACAGCAGCAGUGAGGGUCAGUGGGCCUGUGAGUUAAGAAGAAGGUGGCACAGAGCGAGGGUCUCUGGAUCCUGACUGUUUGACUUUUCCAUGAUUAGGAUAAGUAGCCAGGGCUUGGCUAGUUGGAGAGUUACUCGAACCUCAGGUGACAGUUGUAAGGCAGCACAUAGUGAAAAAGAGUCCUAGCCUGGGAAAGUCCAAAACCUUAGGUCUGGUUUCAGUUCACUCACCUAUCUCUGUGACAUAGCAAAGUCUGUUAAUUUCUCUAAUUUUCUGAUUAGUAGUAUAGUUGCAGGAAUGAAAUAAAAAUGGUCCUGAUUACUCAGAGAUUCAUUUACUGAUUACUCUUUUUGUGACCUGAAUAAAGAGUACAACAUCUCUCAAAAGGUAACAAUAUGAUGUUUCAGGAAAUUAGAGAAGUUAAGAGACUUUGCUGUAUUUACUAUACAGAUAGUUGACUGACAGCUGAGCCCGGACCCAAGAUUCAUUUAUAAAAUGAAGGAGUUGAGAAGUACAUACUCUGAGGUUUAUCCUAAAUAAACUGAAGUCUAGGCAAGUGGCUGAGCUAGGUUUGCCAUGAAUCAAUCUGCUGAGUAUAUUUCUUGGUAACUAGUUCAUCUUUCCUUAAUUCAGUCAACAAAUAUGAUAUCAAGUUUAGUAAGAUGAUGACAGUUGUCAUGUAAUACUCCAUCUGGAAGAUUGUAUGCUUCUCAGCUUCCCUAACUUUUCUUAAUCUACCUUAAGCUUCCUUUCUGAAAGGUUUCUGUCUUUCCUAACAGUCUCUUCUUUCCGCCAGCUACCUCUUGUGUUUAAGAAUUAAAGGAAGAUGAGCUAGGAAUCAAGAAAUACGCAGAACUGAUUCCUGUCACUGGCGCCACCCUGCCACUUGCCCAGAGCUGUGGUAUAAAUUUUUUUAAUAGGCUGAAAUAAAAAUAUGAAUAGCAUUUUGGUAUUAAGCAUUAAAUUGAUAAAGGCUAUGAGAUACACCUGCUCUCAACCAUGUUAAUUUUUUAUUAUUGGUAUUAAUAAAUUAUUACUUACUAACAUAUUAACAAGAAUUGCAUUGAGAAACAAAGCAUCCACAGGCCAAAUCUUCUGAAUUUCAAAUGUUUAUAUUAAUGCGUUGUAUUCUAGAAAAGUAGAAUUGUCUUAAGUAGCUUUGUAAUAUAAAGUCAUCUAUCAGCCCAUUACACCUAUUAGAAUGUUUUAACCUUUAUUUCCCACUUUUUUGUUUCUAGACUGAGUGUACUUGGUCUGGUAUUUGUGGCAUAACUUACGGAACACAUAAGAAUGAUACAGAUACUAUUUAAUGAUGACCUAAUACAAGCUUAGAUAGCUAAGGUGAAAGCUUCUAUGGCCUUAACAUUUUCCUCUUGAAGAAUGUAUUUUCUGUAAUAAAAUACAGUGGCUACUUGAAAUCUA